AUAAUACUCCCUCCGUCCGGAAUUACUUGUCAUCAAAAUGGAUGUGUCUAGAACUAAAAUACAUCUAGAUACAUCCAUUUCAAUGACAAGUAUUUUCGGACGGAGCGAGUAGUAG
rfam:Triticum aestivum genome assembly, contig: Triticum_aestivum_CS42_TGACv1_scaffold_593983_7BS